UGAUAUGGAGGAUCUCGGGCUGAACGACCAAUUGCCAUCACAAAAUCAUCCAGCUUCCUAGAGGAGAGAAAGCAGUUAUGUGUGGCCUUGCAAACAAGAAGAAAAAAGAGGGGAGGAAGUGCCUGGUUGCUCCUGGCUUGGCAGGAAGGGUUGCAGGGUCCCUGAUCACUGCAUUGACUUCCAAACACCCUUGCUAAGACCUGUAGACCAGACCCUUUGCUCGAGCAGCUCUGUGACUCCAUCAGCUGCCUUGCAGGGGAUAUAUGCUAGAGAAAAGCUGGGCCUAUGGGACUGUGCUAGCUGGCUUUUCAAAGAAUAGUUUGCAUCCAUUUGAUAUGCAGGAAAGCUGCCAGCAAUCUUCUGUCUGCAGAACCACUGCAAUGAGAAGAGCUUCAGUUCAGCCCUGGUGCCUGUGUUGGGACUGACAGAGCCCGCCGCUCCUCCCUGCCAGGUGAUUGGGCUUAGUCCUCUCUUUCCCAGUGGAGCCUUGUCAAUCAGCAAGCCAGUUACUACUAGGUUUGAUGGAUGCUGAUGGUGGAGCCUGUCCAAAGAAAGGAUUCCUGAUGGGACAUUUCCUGUUCACAUUGCUGUCUUUCUCAUGAGAAUCCAGUCUGAGAUCCUGUGCCUCCUUGUGGACUCUGACAGAUGGUGGCAUCCAACUGGACCCUGACUGAGCAAACAGCCAAUGACGUGAGACAGUACUGGUGCUGCUGGAGUGUGAGGCAUAAUCCACAGCUAGCACUCAUGGUACAAGAACUGCAGCAAGAAUAAAAAUACUUGCAUAAUUGCUUGUGGCUACGCCAAAUGAAAAUAAUGCAAUUGAUCUCAAGAAUGCAAAGACACUUCAAGAGCUUGAUUCCAUUUUGGCUAAUGCAUGUUAAAUUAUACAUGUGGGGUCUGUACCUAUGGAAAGAUUUCCUGAGAAGUGUUAAGCAUAUCUGAUGUUUAUAAAGAAUGUUUGAGAAUAAUUGAAAGAUAUUUAGUGCUCUCUACCGCUGCACUUGGAAUAGCUGUUCUGCCAAGGGUGCUCUUGGCCUAAACUCCUAUUCCCAUCCAUCUUGAGUGAAGAACCCUGUAUGAGAAGGUGGAUAUUGUUAAUGAUUUUAAAUACAAAAAGAUCCUCCAAAAUUUAGGAAAGAUGGAUUUCCCUACUCAAUAGGAGUCAAUUUCCAGGUAGUUGUAGAGAAAUAGCCUAUAAGCCAUUGAGGGGACAAAAAAAAUUCCUUUUUCUCCCAAGCAAAAUGACCAUUUUUUGGAAGUACCUUUUAUUCCUGAUAAGUUGGCAGAAGCUUUACAGGGAAUUGAUAAGAGAAUGGCAGUACUGUCCUUCAGACUAAGGAAUUUGGUACUCUUGUUCGGUGACGGUAAUGCCUGCCUGGCUGAGUGCAGCCACUGAAGCCUCUUAGUGCCACAUGAAUAAAUUCAAAGCCUGGUAGGGAGCACAAGGCUGUGUUCUUUCAGAGAAAGCUCUAGAGACAAUCUCAGAAUGUUUCUUGUGAAAUUGAAUGUAUGCUUGAAUUCCUGCUACUGUUAAACUGAUACCCAUUUCCCUACAUUUCAUGAAAGACUUUAUGUGUUACUAAUCUUAGUUGAUCCCAUUAUUAGGUAACAAAUGCAUAUGGUGGAAAAUUGCCAGAGACUGGAGUUUCACAAGCAUCAUCACAUGCUGGGGUUUCCAGUUUUGUCCCUAAUGACAAUGGCCAGAAAGCUGUCGCCUUUGCAGAAGCAGAGACUUGGCCAUGUACUUUUA